UGAAGCCUUUAAUAAGAUGAAUAUACUCUUCAACUCGAGAUCUGAAAAAGCAAUGAAAAUACUUCUUUUUGUUGUACUUAACACAAUUUUUUGUGGUUUCUUUUUAUCUAGGUACCUGAUUCAAGAAAAAAGGUCCCUAUCACUGUUCAGUCCAUUGUCAUUCAGUCUCUAAAUAAAACACUCACCCGACGGGAGGACACUGAUGUGCUGCAGCCGACUCUCGUCAACGCUGGACACUUUAGCCUUUGCGUGAAUGUUGUUCUUGAGACUGACUGGAGCUCUCCCGUGUCAGCUCGUAGCACAGAAGGUGAAGAGCCUGCUGUGGGGCCAGGGCUUCCCAGAUUACGUGGCCCCUUUUGGAAAUUCCCAGGCCCAGGACAUGCUGGACUGGGUGCCCAUCCACUUCAUCACCCAGUCAUUCAACAGGAAGGUAAAGGGGAGAAGGAUUCCUGCCAGCUCCCAGGGGCUUUGGUUAUAGAAGUGAAGUGGACUAAAU
rnacentral:sRNA from 1 species